ensembl:lncRNA
AAAAAGAAAAAGGCUGCUGAUGUGUGUUCCACCUUCAGUAUGUGGUUUCACAACCAAAGCCACUGUCCCUGUGUAGGAACUGCUUCCUACAGUGGCAGCGGGAUCUGAAGGUGCAAGACCAGGGAGCAGAUUGCGAUGUGAAUGUGUUCUUGGCACCGAAAGUAGUGAGGAGGCUGAAGAAGACUGAGUGUGUCGUGGGCGUUCCAAGGUGCGAGUGGACUUGACAAAGACGGGAAGUGGCUGCAGAAAAGUCAGAUGAGGCCAGAGUGCAAACAGACAAGGGGAUAACAGGCAAGUCCAUUCCAUCACCAGAGAGUCCUGCUGUUAACCGAUCGCCAGUGGGUUGCCUACCCUUUCCCCCAGGGAUCUCUAGCUCCUUCUUGCACCGGCACUGUCAGGUCUUUUCUGUACUUUGUUGGAUUCAAGAGACUGGACAAUCUGCAAGAUAAGUAAACAUUUUUUUCUUGUUAAUACUGAUUACUUCUCACACUAAAAUGUUGAUGGGUCACUAUGGCAACCCAUCCUGGUUCUUUUCACUAGGUCUUACCGAAGAUGCCUUUCACACUAGCAGUAAGGCCAUGGAGGAAGGACAGAGUGAAUCAUGGAGAAAGAACAUCCCAUCUUACCACCCAAUACAAUUAUGCAGUUGUGGAAGUAGAACUGGAACUCUGGGAGAGUUCGUGUUUUGUUGGUGGCUGGCAGCGUCUUCUAAAAUAGAUCGUACUGUGCUAAGGACAAUUUCUAUGGAUAGACCAGAAGCCUACCAGUACAGGAUGUUUGGGUACAGGUGAGGCUAAUUUGAGUUGUGGAAGCUGAGAAGUCCAAGAUCAAGGUGCCAGCAGAUUUGGUGUCUGGUGAGAGCCCUCUUCCUGGUGUGCAGGUGGCCAUCUUCUGAUUAUGUCCUCACAUGACCUUUCCUUGGCACUUAGGAGGACUACGUAUUCUCCCACCCUUGCAGUUGGGAAGAGCCGUGGAACUCGUUUUGGCCAAUGGGCUCUGAGCACAAGAGACAUGUAAUUUCAUCAUGUAAUCCCUGACUCGGGACCUGCAGCUCUCUCUUCCCCUCCUGCGGUGUCUCAGGAGGCUGCAUAUUCCAGAUGGUGCCACUGUAAGAUGGCAGAGCCUCCAUAAACCAGGCUUCCUCAGUGACUCUCUGGUGACCUGUGUGGAGUCUGUAGCAUGGGUCCCUGAGCCACUGAGUCUCUAAAUGACUGUCUGUGGACCUGUUUGGGGCACAUAGCAUGAGCCAGAAAUGUUCAUGUGUGGCCACUGAGAUGUUGUGGUUGCUUGUGACUUCAUUGUAGCCAAUCCUAAGUGCAUACUACAGCUGCAAAAUGGGAACUGGGGUUGAUUUUUAUUAGCUUAUCUCUAGUAGAAAAGGUUUAUAAAUAUUUAAGGACGACUUUAAACUAUCCAGCAAUUCUUUUUUAGAGAACAAAGAAACUUGUACAAUGUAUAUCUGAAUUUUAUAAAGGUGAAUACUUUGUGUGUUCCUGAUUUUUCUUGAUGGUGUUGAAGGAGCAAACCUCGUGCUGAGGUAUCUGAUUAUAGUAUUGCAGAUAGCUUGAUCAUACAUGGAUACAGAGGGAAAAGCUCCAGAUCUUCCAUGGUUUUCAUUCACGAAAUCAUCUUUUAUUUCCACUUCAAAGUAGCUACAGCUAGUAUCACUUAAAAUAUUUUUUCAGCUUUCAUUGUGCCAUGGAAAUUAGCAUUUUUAUUACCACAAAUUAUUCUUGUUUGGUAAUUCCAAAGAUGUCCAAAAGCAAGAACAGCCUCCUGAGCUGUUAGACUUUGGAAGAGAAUAGUAAAUCAAUGAGUAGAUAGGACCAUAUAUCAUAUUAAACACAGGGAAUUCACCACAAAAUCAUUACACUAAAAAGCGACAAUUUUGAUUGAUUAAAAUGGUAUGGGUUGGAUAGUGUUAAAUCACUGUGAGUGAUAUGACAUUAUAAUUUUACAUAGCAUAUUUCUGCCAAGACAAUGAAGGUAAAAGGCAUUGUCAUCAGAUGAUAACAGACAAUAAGAAGAAUCCUGAUGUUAGAUUUAUUACCUGGUUUAGAUUUAGAAAGAAGUAAUUCUUGUCCUGUUCCACUUAUCAAAUGACUGUAAAUUCAGUGAUGAUGUAAAAUUCUAAGGCAGAGCCACUUAUAGGUUUGACAAAGUGCCAGCUAUAAAGUAUUUAUUGUUCUCAGUGGUUCUGCCUUACAAACUUAAAUAUUUAUCAGAAACAUAAACCCCUCUGAUAAAUGUUUCUGAUCUUUGUGGGUAAAUUUUUUUUUAACAUUUAGAUUUUUCAUCAGAAACUACAUCUAUAUUUUUAUUAUGUUAAUAACUUUGAGCUCAUAAUUUGAAAAGGUAAUAUGUGAAUUUUAAAAUUUUAUUCCUUUUAACUUCUGCUUUUAAGUAUGACAUUUUUAAGAUAGUAUUCUUAGUAUCGAAAUGAGGACUUCCUUAUUUUACCAUUGCUAUAGAGGCAGCUCAGCCAAAAUUUCUGAAUUUCAUCCUUAUGUAUCUCCCAGGAGAGGUUUAGGUUGGUGAUGGCCUAGGUGCGGCCUGAGACAGUUCAUGGUGUCCCCAAGUAUCUUAGGUGAUUGUUUUAGUGCCAUUUAUCUCUGUAUCUUGUUUCUGAAGGACACAGGCACAGGUGAUUCCUUACCCUGGGCACAGGGAAGUCCUUGCUUGAGAGCACAGCUGACAGGACCAAAGAUUAGCACCUCAGUCAAAGGAAGGCAGUGCUUACUGGCCAGUGAUCUGUGAGGUGGCAGGUCACAACAUGAGAACCCCGGGAAACAGGAUGCUGUCUACAGGAGGUAGGAGCCGGGACCUGGUUAGAUUGUCUGAAGCACUCAAAUGUGAGACACAUGAAUGGUAAAGCAGCUCAGAAGCACAGAGAAUCAUAGAGAGAAGGCAAUUAGUAGUCUCCAUAAGGUUGCCAAAGCCACCACAUGCAAAAGCCAAGAGCUGAAGGAAGAAGAGCAGAGGCACUGAGUAGUUGCAAGAGAAGUGGACAUUAUAGGAGCUGAAAUAGAAGGUAGCGGAACCAUCAGGAAACUGAAACUUGACCUAAAGGAGGACUAAAAGUGGGCUAAGUUGCUGGAGUAAAGCUGUUGAGAUUAUUUUUCAUUAUUCCCGAGUUCUCUGGGUAUUCAUACAGCAGACCAACUAACUAUGUUAAACUGGGCUUCUCACUCUUCCUCUAACUUCAAAAAGUCUCAUACAUCUAAGAAAAUAUAAUGAAUUCAUAUGAUCACAGAAUUUCAGCUCUACAAGAGAACUUAGAGACAUUUUGCCAAAGUGUUUUCCUGUUUAUUUUUCUUAUGAAGAAUUUCAGUGCCAGAGAGAAUAAAAAUCCUUGCUUUGCUCCACCAGCUGAUCAUAUGCUGUGAUCAUAAGCUUCUCAAGACCACAAACAUAUCUUAAGUAGCUGUUUCUUCUUGCCUUGCUACAAAGUAGGAGCUCAAUAAAUGCAUUUUGAGUAGUGAGUCACCACAAAAUCUUAUGGCAUUUGACAGUUUAGAUUUGCCUGUAGAGCUGGUUAAUUCUAAAUAGUUAAAAGAAGGGAUAUGGUAAAAAAGUGAAAUGAUAAGACUCUUAUUUAUCCCUCCCCAAUCUAUUUUGUUAACACUUUCUCUUCUGCACACCACAUAUACACACACUCAAAUCAAGGAGUUAUUAGCCUUGUAGGCUGAUUACGAAAGUUUUAUAUUCAUCAAAAUUGGCCCUAGAAAAUUCAUUGCACAAGGCUGGCAUUUGAGGUUCAAAAUUGUAUGGGCAAUGGGGCACUGACAGCAUCCAACUAAUUUACUGUUAGGUCUCCACACUUGCUGAGAUUCAUGGAUUAAAAGUGAAAGAGGUUUUCUGGAACAUUUUCUGAUUCAAGGAUAAGGAAGGUUAGUCUGAAGCUAAGUUCUCUGACCCUCUAAUAAUUUACACGGAGCUUUCAGUAUCAGUGUCAUUUUCUUGAAUAUCAAAGGCUAAAGAUUGUUUUGAAUAAAUCAAGACUUAAAAGAAGUCUCUGGGAAAUAUUAAAUGACUGUUGAGCAGACUGCUUCAUGGAAGGAGAACCAUUAGUUGAAUUCAGGGACAUUUCUUCUAUUUUGCCGUCCCUAUAAGAGAACAACAGUAAAGGCUAUCAAGAUUACAGCUGCCACUCAUUUUUGCUUUAACUUUGAGUUUUAUUUUCCCUUGAGAUAAAUCCUUCAAAGCCAGAAUAAAUAUUUCUCCAAAAUAGCAUAUAGCAAAGAAAGAAUGCUAUUUCUAAUCUUCAUCUGGGUUUUAUUUGAGGAGAUUUAAAGAUAAUUCCUUAGUUUUGGGCUAAUUCUGCCUUGUGGUCUGUUUUGGAGGGCUGGACUCCUUUUGUUAGGAAAGUUUACAAGUCUAAAUUUCCUACAAAAGGACUUCUGAGAAUUGUGAUGACUUAUGAGACAUUAUGAAGGGACUGGGCUUAGGAAAGAGAGAAGCCCAGCAAUUUCCAUCCUGCUCUGCCUCGGAGGGGUGCAAGUAUUUCAGUCAAGGGCAUGUGCAAGGGCAAGUUCUGACCAUUCACAAAACUGCUUUACUCAUUGAACAAAUGGGGUUGUUUGGAUUCUGUGUGACAUAUUCUGGAAUAAAAUAAAUCCUAAAGAAGGCAAAACAAGAAAAGUUUGGAGUCCUCAUUUGUGUGAAAUGAAAGAAAGAAAAAUAAAGGUUUGCUGAAGGUUCUAUAAAUAGGUGAACUUUCUAUCAUGUGCUGAAUACAAGAAACAUUUCAAAUGUUGAGAUGUGUCUGCUAAAGGAGACCUUAAAAUUGUCCUUCGAAUGGCUCAGGAUUGCAAGCGUUUGUAAUGGAAGUCUUAAGCCAUCCAGAGGAGAUAAAUAAGAUCAUCUUAAUGUCCUCGUAAUUCUUUAUAAGCUAGACCUUUGGUUGAAGAAUUAAUUCUAAAUGACUCAGGGAACUUUGGCUAUCUUGACUUCACAGAUGUUCAGAAUUUGAAAAUAGUUGUUUCUAGUUGGUUAAAUUCUCAUUCUGUGUUAGCUAAGUCAAUUUUCAACCUCCUUGACCUAGAGUUGUUCUUGAGCCUUG